UGUGUUUUUCUGUCAAAGUGAUGGCCUGGCUUUCUCAUCUGUGAAGCUGCAUUGUUUUGCUAACAUGUAUCUGUCACACUUGAUUUAAUGUCCUUGGAUUUUGUAGACGUGUAAAUCAACCACUGUGUAAGUUGACACUGUGCUGAACCUUCACCUUUCUUAAUGUAGAUGGAAAUGGAAGAAAAGGGAGGGGAGGUAGAGGAACAUCUUGGGUUUUCUAAGGUCUUGUCUGACCUGCUGUUGAUGUGUCAGGUCAGGCAAAUGCUCUAUUUACAUCAACCUCUAUCUCUGAUGGCGUACAGCAAUGGGAAGAGUCUUAGAGGGCAAAUGCAGUGAUACUUAUCCUAAAUUAUUGGCUCCAUCAAUCUCUAGCAUGAGACAAAGAUGGCAUAUUUUGCAUUGAAUACCCAUGAUGGAGUUUUCUUCUGAGCUUAUUCAGCCAUUUCUGAACCAUCCUGUAUUUCUCAUUUCCACAGUUUGCUGCUGGUGGCAAGGAGCGCUUGAGUUGGAUAAUGUGAGCCCUUUCCUCCAACUGAAAGAACAGAGGCAGCUCCCUCUAAUUUUCCUUUUCUCCAAGCUGUAGAAAUUUUGUGGUGCUCCUAUGAACUAAAUAAUUUCCAGCUGUUACAAUCUCUUCUUUUUCCUCUUCAGCUUGCUGCUUUUAGGUUGUUCUGUUGUCAUGAUUUUUGCUUUUUUUCUUCCAGUUUUUAUAUUUGCUGAUUUCCUAAGCUGUGUAAGCAGAUUUGCUGAUGAUUACACAGCAAGAAAAAAUGUAAGGAGCGCAUUUUCCCCUCCAUCUGUUCUAUGUGCUUUCAUAAAGCACAACCUGAAAGGAGAUCUGCCUCUGCUUCUGCCUCUCUCCCUGCCUCUCUGCCACAAAAGUUUGCAGAGCAGAACCUCCUUUUGGAAAACAUCUUCAUGUAACAGUGUGGCCAGGUUCUUCCUUGCCAUCAUUUGGUUUGCAGGGCUUUCACAGAGCAGAACGAAGUCAGAGCUGGGCCCGAGGAACAAACCUUUGCAGUGAGGUUCUCAGAGGCCCCAGGGACCUUGUCCUCUUCUGGGCUCCUCAGCGCAAAAGAGAGCUGGGCAUCCUGGUUAGAGUCCUUCAGAGAGCCACCAAUAUGAUGUAGGGACUGGAGCAUCUCUCCUAUGAGGAGAGGCUGAGAGAGAGACUUCUCAGCCUGGAGAAGAGGACCCAAGGAAGACUCUGCAUGACUUCGUGCAGUUGUUCAGGUACAGAAGAGCUGCCUGUUACAGGCAAUUUGACACGAUACAAAUGCAAACCUUAUUGUGAAGGCAGGCAGCAAAUCAGCUUUUGAUCAGCUAUGAGAUCAACUCCUGCUUGAUGCUGAGCUAUUCUGAUAACUUGAGCUGAUUCCUGUAAGCCAUUUUUCAAGCUUUCUUCCCUACUUGAUGAUCAAAUAUAGUGGAGUGUAUAAU
rnacentral:lncRNA from 1 species